rnacentral:tRNA from 1 species
GCGCCAGUAGUAUAGGGGUUAUUAUGGGGCCUUGCCAAGGCUCCGACCCGGGUUCAAAUCCCGGCUGGCGCA